rnacentral:piRNA from 1 species
UAGCCUGGAAACUCCACAAGAGCAAGAAU